UACGUAGGAGGCGAGCGUUGUCCGGAUUUACUGGGCGUAAAGCGCGCGCAGGCGGCACUUCAAGUAAGGUGUGAAAUCUCCCUGCUCAACGGGGAGGGUGCACUUUAGACUGAGGAGCUAGAGGACGGUAGAGGGGGGUGGAAUUGCUGGUGUAGCGGUGAAAUGCGUAGAGAUCAGCAGGAACACCCGUGGCGAAGGCGGCCUUCUGGGUCCGCCCUGACGCUGAGGCGCGAAAGCGUGGGGAGCGAACGGG
rnacentral:rRNA from 1 species